rnacentral:rRNA from 1 species
CCCGCACAAGCGGUGGAGCAUGUGGUUUAAUUCGAUGAUACGCGAGGAACCUUACCUGGGCUCAAAUGUAUGUUGACGUAUUCUGAAAGGGAUACUUCUUCGGACAAUAUACAAGGUGCUGCAUGGUUGUCGUCAGCUCGUGCCGUGAGGUGUCGGGUUAAGUCCCAUAACGAGCGCAACCCCUAUCAUUAGUUGCCAUCAGGUCAAGCUGGGGACUCUAAUGAAACUGCCUACGCAAGUAGUGAGGAAGGUGGGGAUGACGUCAAAUCAGCACGGCCCUUACGUCCAGGGCUACACACGUGCUACAAUGGCCGGUACAAAGGGCAGCUACCUGGUGACAGGAUGCUAAUCUCAAAAGCCGGUCUCAGUUCGGAUCGGAGUCUGCAACCCGACUCCGUGAAGCUGGAUUCGCUAGUAAUCGCGCAUCAGCCACGGCGCGGUGAAUACGUUCCCGGGCCUU